AUGGGAUAUCUGUCCUAGUAGGUGGCCUUGCCAUAUAUGAAGAUUUUUUCAAGAGAGCUAACCUAGAAGACAGAAAUGCUCUGGAACUCGCCAUAAAGAAGGGUCCAAAAACAGUUAAGGUUGCUGCCUCUGAACUGCUGGACAUUGAGGAUGAGUGGAAUAGUUUUCUUGGUGACGUUGAAGGUAAAGAAAAGGUCUUGAGCACUUUGAUUGACGUAGGAGAUGUUUUACCCAGCAGCUUCACCCUUCACCGUGUCCCCCAUUCACCACACACCACCACAGCUGCUGCUAAUGAUGGUGCCUCCAAUGCUGAAACACUGGAGGAUAUUUUGGUAGCAAGCCAAAAAAAUGCAAUUUUGUUUGUGCUCAAUCGACACUUUGCAUGACUUCCAUGACGCAACCACAUUUCACAACUGACAGCCAGACAGAAUGAAUUGUCUGCUGCCAGCUGUGGUGUGGUUGUGGUUACCUUUGGGGAAAUGGCAGGAGCUGUUCUUUGGCUCAAGGAAACAAACUGCCCUUUUCCUUACUAUCAGGAUCCUACUCGGGCAUUAUACCAGUACUUUGGACUCAAGAG